GACGAACGCUGGCGGCGUGCUUAACACAUGCAAGUCGAACGGAAAGGCCCUGCUUGCAGGGUGCUCGAGUGGCGAACGGGUGAGUAACACGUGGGUGAUCUGCCCCUUACUUUGGGAUAAGCCUGGGAAACUGGGUCUAAUACUGGAUAGGACCAUGCUGUAGGUGGUGUGGUGGAAAGAUUAGUUUCGGUAAGGGAUGAGCUCGCGGCCUAUCAGCUUGUUGGUGGGGUAAUGGCCUACCAAGGCGUCGACGGGUAGCCGGCCGGAGAGGGUGGACGGCCACAUUGGGACUGAGAUACGGCCCAGACUCCUACGGGAGGCAGCAGUGGGGAAUAUUGCACAAUGGGCGCAAGCCUGAUGCAGCGACGCCGCGUGGGGGAUGACGGCCUUCGGGUUGUAAACUCCUUUCAGCCAUGACGAAGCCCUUGUGGUGACGGUAGUGGUAGAAGAAGCACCGGCUAACUACGUG
rnacentral:rRNA from 1 species